rnacentral:tRNA from 1 species
GUGGCAACCGGGGCGGUUCCAGCCCGGCCUCGCUCGCGCCGGGGGCGAUCCCGUCGCAGCUGGGCGGUGACGGUGAUCGUGGCAUGGAUACCACC